rnacentral:misc_RNA from 1 species
GAUGAAGAACGCAGCGAAAUGCGAUAAGUAAUGUGAAUUGCAGAAUUCAGUGAAUCAUCGAAUCUUUGAACGCACAUUGCGCCCUUUGGCAUUCCGAAGGGCACACCUGUCCGAGCGCCGUCGCACAACUGAGGCGCAGCCUUGCGUUGGCGGGCGACUUGUGAGUAGCGAGUCGCCGCCCAAACGAGACGGCGCCGCGGCGCGGCCGACGAAGCACGAAAGCGGAAGUCGACGCGGAGGCGGUUGCCUGUAGGAAGACACAGCUUGGCCUCGGAUCAGGUGGGGAUACCCGCUGAACUUAAGCAUAUCAAUAAGCGGAGGA